rnacentral:rRNA from 1 species
AUCGUAGGUGGUUUGUUAAGUCGGGUGUGAAAUCCCAGGGCUCAACCCUGGAACUGCACUCGAUACUGGCAGGCUAGAGUUCGGGGAGGGGGGAAGCGGAAUUCCGUGUGUAGCAGUGAAAUGCGUAGAUAUACGGGGGAACACCUGAGGCGAAGGCGGCUUCUUGGACCGAUACUGACACUGAGGAUCGAAAGCGUGGGUAGCAAACA